AAACUACUAAAUGUUUUCGGCACGGACACACCAGGGCCGUAUAACCACCAUAUACAAUGAGGUGGAAAAGAGUUUGUGUGUGUGUUGUUAAGAGAAGUGCCUAUGACUUUGAGAGGUUUGUGUAGCCUAUUCCAUGCGGUAUGCCUUUUAAUGUCUACUUCUUGUUUUUGAGGGAACACAUUUCUCUCUGUAACAAAGUGGGUGGUGAGCAAAGGGGGUCUACGUUUUGGAGCAGCAUCUAGGUUUGCAUUGGGUAUGUAUUCUUUGGCUGGAUAUAUCUUUCCCAUUACAUUUUCUGUUGCCUAAAGAUUCUUUGUGGAGAUAAAUCCGGAUGAUACAAAGUCGUAGGACAAAAUUGUGAAGAUGCACUGCAGCCUUACUGUGUAUUUUUAAGCGCUUGUUUUUGUUUGUUUGUUUGUUUUUUCCCACCAAAACAUUCCAGUCUGCAGAAGUUCUUUGGGAAAAUACAGUUAUACUGUAUAUAGGCUAUACAAUGUUUUAAAUAAAGAAUUUAAUAUCUUGUAAUAAUUGUAUCUGUCAGUAGUAGGCUACUUCCGUAGGAUAAAAUAAAAAUGAAUUUAUAUAAAAAUUAUAAAAUCAAUAAUUUAUAUUUAGUUCACAUGAAUGAAUUAACUUUGAAAUGCCUAACAGUGUAUUCAGCCCCGUGUAAUGUGGGAAGUGGAAAUCCUGUUCUUAGUUUCUAUGCUAUUUUAACACAACAAAAAUCAUUAAUGUAGUCUCCAUCCGAAUAGAAUAGAGUAGGCUAAAUUGGUUGAACAUAAUAAAGAUAAAUUGUGACAGCAUCCUGAAAGAUAUAAUUUAAAAAAAAUAACUUAACUUGCUUAGUGUAUUAAUGUGUGUUUAGGUUCAUUUUUUGAGUGUUUAGCAUGUCGGUGCAUGUUGUGGGAGUGAACGUGUGUACUCUGAUUCUUCUUUCUUUUUUUUUUUUUGCAGAAAGAAACAAGUAGUCUAGUACAAUAAGGCAGUAGGCUACAGAAUCUUAAGAAAAUGCAAUAGAACAGAACACAACAAAAAAUAAAAGCAAAACGAGAGAGAGGAAGGAAAGAAAAAAGAAAGAGAGAAAUAAAUUACACAUCAGGGUCUUCUAGUUUAAAUUUUCUCAAUAGACUACUCUGUUUCAGGGGUGCGUUUCCUGAAAGCGUCGUUACCCAAAUAUGGUUUCAAUUUCCGUCGAUAGCAGCAUAGUUCAACGAGUCUGUGUUCCCGAAAACAUAAUUCCUACGAACAUUCCCAAACUGGGGUGCGUUUCCCGAAAGCAUCGUUAGCUGACUAUGGUCUCAAGUUCCGUCGUUAUCAGCGUAGUUUAACAAGUCGGUGUCUCCCGAAAACAUAGUUCCAAAACGAGCAUUCCCAAACUGCAUCGCAAACUUGUGUGGUUGGAACUACAGCUCUCGACAUGUGGUUAGAAUCAUAGUUUCUUUUUUGCAUGACAUGUGGACUUAAUAAAUCCUUAUUUUGAGCAAAAUAAGCAAGCUGACAUUCAGUACAAUCUAUUUUAUUUCAAAUAUAACAAAAUUAUUUUACCAUGUUUAUUUUGUUCAAGCUAAGGAUUUAUUAAGCCCAGGUGUCAUGCAAACAAGAAAUUAUAUGCUUGUAACCACAGGUCGAGAGCUAUCGUUCCUUCCAAACACACAACUUUACGAUGCUCUUUGGGAAUGUUCCUUGUUUUCGGGAACACACACUCCUUGAACUAUGCUGCUAACGACGGAACUUGCGACCAUAUUCGGCUAACGAUGCUUACGGGAAACGCACCCCUGAAUCAAAGCAGUCAUGAUCACACCCACAACAUGCACCAACAUGCACCGACAUGCUAAACACGCACGCACUCAAAAAAGGAAGAUAAACACGCACUAAAAAAAUGAAGACAAGACAAAACGAGUUAACAAUUCUUUGACAAAGAUAAUUCUUUGUUGUCACAGUUUAUCUUUAUCAUGUUCAACCAAUUAAGGCUACUUAAUACAUUCAGGUUGAGAUUAUACGAAUGAUUUUUGUUGCUUUAAAUAGCAUAGAAACUAUAGGAACAGGAUUUCCACUUCCCACUUUGCAUGGGGCUGGAUACACUGUUAAACAUUUUAUUAUUUUAAUAUUUAAUAUUUUACAGUAGCUAUAACCAUAUUUCAGAUUUACAUAACUACAUGGUAUUGUAAUUAUGUAAUACAAUGCAAUGACUGUAAAAAAGGAAUUGUAUAACUUAAAAUGUAUUUCGCACUGAUGGGAAUUUUGCAGUUCUUAGGAACAACUCUAAUAAUAAAGGCUGUCUGCUUUAGGAUAUUUGAUUCAUUGUUUCCAGAUUUUUUCCAGCUGUGGUGGCAGCUGUGACCUUGGACACCAUGCCCCUUCCCCCUUCCCCCUUUCCCCCUGGUGGUUAAACCUCCCCACCCAAGAAUCACUGGCACUCACACACAAAACAACCAACCAUCUCUGUCAAAACAAAUUUCGGAAGAUAUUUAUUUGCAAAGAUUUAAACUGCCACAGUAAGACAAGCCUAUAUUCCUAAUCUAUGGAAAAAUAAUAAUAAAUUGGGUUAGUGGACAAUUCAGCAGCAAAAGUUAUUCUAGAAAAAUCAUGAGUGCACAAUAAUUUUAUAAAAUAUACAUUUACUUGGGGAAAAAAAAAAAAUUAGGGGAACAAAUAAAAGUUAAAAUGUUCCACAUUGCUCUUUGUAUUGUUAUAAAAUACACUGAAAAACAAGUAUAUAUAGGUAUAUAUAAAAAUGAGGUAUAUAAAAGUAUAUAUAAAAUGAAAAGACAUUUCUUUUAAAUGAAUAGUGCACCUUUUUAAUGAUUCAACAACAUAUUAUAGAUAGGACAGAACAAGUUAUAAUCUUUAUAUAUAGCAAAAGUAUUAUAAUAUGUAAGGCUCCAAUAGAGUGGUGCAGGUUUGACGUCACUUUGUAGGCCAAUCGGCAGUUAGCGUCACACUGGUUCCCUUGACAAAAACCAAUAGGAUUUUCCCAUAGGCUUUUAUAUUAUUGCAAAAACAAGCUCCGUGCUCAACAAAAGUUUAUGAUACUUACACGUUUGGAUCAUCAAGAUCAUUUUCACAGAUGAACACAACUUUUAUGAAUUUUGAAGCCUAAAUGUACAACUUCAACGUCACCAUCACUAAGCUUCUAAAAACUCUUUCAGUUUUUAUCUAAAACACUUUCCCAUAAAGUUUGAGUUAAAAUAGUUUAUAAGAGGACAAUUGUAAGUAUACAGAGGCUGUAAAAGUGGACUCAGCUUACUUGUUUGGCAUGAUGACGUUUAAUCUUCCCGACUGCCUCUGUAGUCCGAUUUAGCCAAUUGUUAGCAACCACCUUUUUCAAGACACUUAACAGCUUCAAAAAGUCACAGGUAGGUUAAUACUGAUGUAUUUUAUGUCAUAGAAUAAAAGAUGAAAGUGUCUUGAGCUUGUGUUUACCACAGACCUUAUUUUAGCCAUUUAAACAAAAUCCCAUUUAAAAAAACCCAUUGACUUCUGCACGAUGGAACCAGAAGUGCUAAAAUGCUAACUCGUUGGCCUACAAAUUGAUGUCGUACCUGCACCACUUUAUAUUCAUGGACGUCACUUCCGCUAUGCUCGUCGCCAUUUUUUGUGUCCGACGAACACAGCACAUUCUAAAUGAGACGAUUUGAGAAAAAAAAAAAUCGUUAUUUGGAAAAAAACAUAUGUUAUCGGUUGUGAUUAGGGGUGUAACGAUUCACUCGUUUUCUCGAUGCAUCGAUUACAAAUCCUGACGAUGCAUAUGCAUCGAUCUUGAAACUUGUUUUUUGAAUCGGUCGAUAAUCGAUGUAAAAUGCUAAGAAUCGGAUUAAUCGCGAUUCUAUAGCGAUUCCGUGGUUUAAAAUAUAUAAACAUUAAAUUACUACAUGCGCGAAUUGAUGGAGACGUUGUGCGCCGUAAUUCGCCCUCACAGCUCUCCUUCACAGACAUGCGCUGCACUCUUUACCGCCUUUCACUGGAUUGCGCUCGCGCUCCGUCCGCAGCUCUCAUCAACAGUUUUGCCACGUUUGAGCUCUCCUCAGGACGGCCACUGCUAUUCAUAUGAGCAAAUGACAGUCUUUAGUCCUGAGUCAAACCGCGGAAGCCAUUGAUUAAGCUGCCAAGUCAUUGCGUGGUCACUAUUGUUGAAAUAAAAUGCUUUCAUUGCGUGGAAAUGUCACCGUUGUUUUUAAUGAGAUAAAAUACUGUAGUUUUACGGAAAUGGGUCAUACCAUUGACAUUACCUGCAGCAGUUUAAGUGAGUAGCAUCUGCCUGCACAACCGGAGACUGCAUUUUCAGGACCGCAUUUCUAGGACCUUACAUUUUAGUGACAACGCCACCUACCGAAUUACAGGACCAGUGACCGCAUGAUUUUCGGAAGAGAUGGACGACAUUCAGAGUGUGAGUAUCAAAUGUAAAUCAAUUUUUAUUUGUUUAACAUUAAAAACAAUUGUGAUGCAUUUAAUUGCAAAGUGAAGUGAUCGUGAGUUGCAAAAUAGUCUUGAAUGCACUUUAUAGCCAUCAUAUAUUAGGUUCUAAUGCUGUAAAACUAAUUGUUAGCAUAUUCGUUUAACAAAACUGUAGCACGACUGGCAAGUGACUAUGGUAUGAUUAAUAAUCCUAGGCAGUACAAUAAACUGUAGCACUUCGUUGUAAAAUCUUGUUAGUUACUCAAUGUUUUUCCAUUUUAAGCAAGUUAAAAUAAUCUUAAUGUUUUAACUGUCACGUGCGUGCUCACUGUCAGCCUGCCCAGGUCAAAAAAUACUACAGUAAAUACUAUAGUGUUUUUGAACCAUACUACAGUAAAUUGUAGUAACUUAUACUGUAUAAAUAAUAGUAUUUACAACACUUUGUUAAUGAAUCCUUCAGCAUACUGUAGUAUACAGUGAACUGAUAAACUGUAAUAAAUACUGUAGUAUACUUUAUUUUUUACUACAGUAAACUGUAGUGUAUAUUGUAUAUACCCUAUAGUUGUAGAAAACUUAGUACAGUAUUGGGUAAAAUAAUUUGAUUAUAUUACUAUAGUUGUUAUGUUACCACAGCAACUAUAGAAUUACCACAACAAAUUAAUUCAAGUACUUUACUAUAGUAUGGGUAAAAAAAACUAUAGUAUUUACUAUAAAUUACUAUAGUAUUUUUUUACCUGGGCAUGUUUACCCUACAAUACAUGUUAUGAGCAUGUCUCUUAAUUUUGACAUUGUUUUUGUAAUGUUGAUUGAGGCAUUUGACAAUUUUAAUAGUCAGACAUAACAGAGUGUACAUAACCACGUGUUAGAUUGUGUCACGUACUGUGUACUCUAUAAGUGAUUUCAGUGCAGGCACUAUAUGACAAAAGAAUAAUAAAUAAAUUGGUCAAGUACUAGGCUUAGGCCUAAUUUAUGUCUAUUUAUUUAUAUGAAAUGAACUUAAAAUGUUUUAUUUGACCAAUUGGACUCUCUCUUUUUCAAGAAACACAUAACAAUCCAAGAAGGAAGAUCCUUUCCUGGACUAUAGAGAUGCACCACAUGUUGCAAGGAGUUCCUCUGCCCGUUCUGCAGUUCUGCUUUGUUUCACCCAACAAAGUUGACCAAAGUGAAAUCCCAUUUGGAGAGCCAUUUCAAAUGCAGUUCUCUAUGAAGACCAUCAUUUAUGGCCUGGCUGGGCUGCAGAAUUUCUCUGUGGGAUGUUGAGAAGGCCUUCUUCUCUGGUCUGGAUUAUCAUCACAUUGAAGUGGAAGAAAAGAGAAAAGAGGGGAGAGCAUCCAUUGGAGUCAGUGAGGACGUUGUCGCUGAAGUUCUUUCUGUGUGGUUCACGUCAUGAACAAAUUUGUUUUUGUGUGUUCAACUGUUGUAAUAUAUUAUUUUAUAAAAUAUACACAAUCUUAAAUCUA